UAGACGGCCGGGCCGGCUGGGAGGCCGAGACGCCAGCCCCGCAGCGCCCCCGCCCGCCGCCCAACGCGCCCAGACGGCUCGCCUCACCCCCAUCCCCCAAGGGCCCGGGGACUGCGCGCCCAACCCUCGGCGUCUCAGUGCGCGGGUCCGGGCAGCGACCAACGGCCGGCGGUCCUACGGUGCCCACUCCCGCCCGGCGAGCGGCGCCGGAAGCGGUGCCCCGGGGGCAGGCCGUGUAGGUGCGCGAGGCACCCAACACAGGGCUUGGCAUAGAAUAAAUGCUUAUCAGUGCCUGAGACUGGUCACACUACGCCUGCCCUCCUGAGGCUCCCCAUCUAUGAGUCAGAUGAAAACCAGAGUCACGAAUGGAGGCAGAUUCAGACGCUCAACCUGAAAAGGAGACAGAGAGGAACUAGAGAGCUACAGGAUGCACAGCUGCAGGAUGGCAAAGACUCCACAGUCAAUAUUACAGCAGCUGGACAGAGACAAGAGCGGAGUUGGGCAACCAACCCAGAAACUGCCUCCUGGUGCUCACAGUCCCAAGGCAGCUCCCUGUCCCCUCAAGCAGAGCCCAUGUUGGCAGAGACACCUGCUUUCUCCUCUGGCUGUUUCAAGCACUGACCUGGGGGUAGGGACUUGGGAGGAAGGGACGCGACAAUGCAGAGCCUAAGGAGGCAACCAGAGGAAGCUAAGUGCUCAGAGGAAGCCAUGAGGGUCACACUUUCCAGCUUCCCCAUCUUCUUCUGUCAGCCCCAGAUCACAUCACCAACCGAAAACAUGAGCAUCCGCAGAGCUGGAAGGCCCAUCAACAUCCAGCUCAAACAAACCAUUUUGCAGGAGAUCCUGCUACCUCCCAGCACGUGACCACAUAGCCAAGAGACUGCUCUCCCUCUAAAGGCCUCCCCUUACCCUGCUGGGGCUCAAGGAAGAUCUAAAAGGGAACCCAGACUGGUGCAGUCACCAAGUCUCCGAGGACUAUCCAACUAGGGGUCCCCUAAGGCUGGAUUCCAACACUUGGAGACUCAAUACUGUGUGCUGUCAGCCUCCAGCCCUAAAGAGGAGUUCCAGAGAAAGGACGUGCCUUCCUGCGGCCAGUCUUGCGGAGUCGUGGCUUGCUCUUGGUGAAGCAGAUGUUGUGCUUGGUGGACUUAAAGGACUCCAGCCGCCGCUUCAUGUUCUGCUGGAAGAUCUCCUUGUCCUGCCGCUCCUGCGCGUCCUCUGAGAUGAAGUGGCGGCUGCAGCUGGCUUUGUACUGGCAAUGACAGUGCCGCCCCGCCAUGAGGCCGGGUGCCUUGGCCUCCUACAGGAAUCCCAGGCCACAGCCCCAACAUGUUCACCACAGGCCCUGCCAGUCCAGCUUUUCCAGAAUUAGCCGUGGAUUGAAAAACAAAAAAUAAAUAGAAACACAGCCAGAGGCUCUGUG